rnacentral:rRNA from 1 species
ACUGUGCAAAGGUAGCAUAAUCAUUAGUUUUUUAAUUGGAAGCUAGAAUGAAUGGUUGGACGAGAAAAAUACUGUCUCAAUUUAAUUUAAAUUAGAAUUUUAUUUUUAAGUAAAAAAGCUUAAAUAAAUUUAAAAGACGAGAAGACCCUAUAGAGUUUUAUAGUUGAUUUAAUAUAAUUUUUAAGGUAAGUUAAAUAAUUUUAUAGAAUUAAUUAUUUGAUUGGGGUGAUUAGGAAAUUGAAUUAACUUUUUUUAUAUUUUUCAUAUUUAUAUGAUUAAAUGAUCCAUUAUUAAUGAUUAAAAGAUUAAAUUACCUUAGGGAUAACAGCGUAAUUUUUUUAAAGAGUUCUUAUUAAUAAAAGAGUUU